AGUCGAGGGGCAUCAGGAAGAAGCUUGCUUUCUUUGCUGGCGACCGGCGCACGGGUGAGUAACACGUAUCCAACCUGCCCUUUACUCGGGGAUAGCCUUUCGAAAGAAAGAUUAAUACCCGAUAGCAUAAUGAUUCCGCAUGGUUUCAUCAUUAAAGGAUUCCGGUAAAGGAUGGGGAUGCGUUCCAUUAGGUUGUUGGUGAGGUAACGGCUCACCAAGCCUUCGAUGGAUAGGGGUUCUGAGAGGAAGGUCCCCCACAUUGGAACUGAGACACGGUCCAAACUCCUACGGGAGGCAGCAGUGAGGAAUAUUGGUCAAUGGGCGUUAGCCUGAACCAGCCAAGUAGCGUGAAGGAUGAAGGCUCUAUGGGUCGUAAACUUCUUUUAUAUAAGAAUAAAGUGCAGUAUGUAUACUGUUUUGUAUGUAUUAUAUGAAUAAGGAUCGGCUAACUCCGUGCCAGCAGCCGCGGUAAUACGGAGGAUCCGAGCGUUAUCCGGAUUUAUUGGGUUUAAAGGGAGCGUAGGUGGACUGGUAAGUCAGUUGUGAAAGUUUGCGGCUCAACCGUAAAAUUGCAGUUGAUACUGUCAGUCUUGAGUACAGUAGAGGUGGGCGGAAUUCGUGGUGUAGCGGUGAAAUGCUUAGAUAUCACGAAGAACUCCGAUUGCGAAGGCAGCUCACUGGACUGCAACUGACACUGAUGCUCGAAAGU
rnacentral:rRNA from 1 species